CCUACGGGUGGCAGCAGUGAGGAAUAUUGGUCAAUGGGCGAGAGCCUGAACCAGCCAAGUCGCGUGAGGGAGUACUGCCCUAUGGGUUGUAAACCUCUUUUGUCGGGGAGCAAAAGCCGGACGUGUCCGGCUGUGAGAGUACCCGAAGAAAAAGCAUCGGCUAACUCCGUGCCAGCAGCCGCGGUAAUACGGAGGAUGCGAGCGUUAUCCGGAUUUAUUGGGUUUAAAGGGUGCGCAGGCGGAUUUUUAAGUCAGCGGUAAAAUCGUGGGGCUCAACCCCAUCCAGCAGUUGAAACUGUGGAUCUAGAGUGUGCGGGAGGUAUGCGGAAUGCGUGGUGUAGCGGUGAAAUGCAUAGAUAUCACGCAGAACCCCGAUUGCGAAGGCAGCAUACCGGUGCACAACUGACGCUCAGGCACGAAAGCGUGGGUAUCGAACAGGAUUAGAUACCCCUGUAGUC
rnacentral:rRNA from 1 species